GUUGACAGACAGCAGUUCUCACCUUCUAUCAAGAAACUGAUCUCCACCAACACAUCACAGCUCCCAAAAGCCAUCAGGAUUUGCCCUUAGCAGUGUCGUAAGCUUCCUUAUAAGGACAACUUUUAGCAGAACCUGUCCUAGAAACAAUUUUAUUCAAAGGUGCAAAAGGGAAACUUGGCUGCUUCAUUUAAUAACCUGUUCCAAGAGUUCUAAGGUAAAUUAAAAAGAUAGUAAAAUUUAAUAAGUGCCUGAUUCACCUAGGUGUUGCCCAGAGAAGUUUAUGAGUCCUUCAGGGAAGGAGCAGUGCACGAUAUUAGCAGAAGUCACUUCUAUUAGCUAAUCACACAUCAGAAAGGUGUAAAGCUGUUUCCUGUUUUAAGAUAUCCUUGUUUAAUUCUUUAUCUCUUGCCAAGGAAAUGAUUGAAAUUUGUUGUUAUUCAUGGCCUGGGUUUGGACGACUUAAGUGUUUCUAACACUUGCCUGCUCCAUAUUUCUACUCAAAUAAUUUAGCUUUUGCUGAGAGGGAUAUUUUAUUACUGUGGGAAUAAAAUAAAGAAACAUGGGGAUUAAAUAGAUUAU
rnacentral:lncRNA from 1 species